GAAAAAGCUGUCUAGGGUUCCGUUGACGGGUAAACGUCAAGUCUGGUCCGAGAGACGGCGUAUGGCGGAAAGCUUAUUAAAGCAGCCGGCAUAUGACACGGAAGGACAAAAGCCUGGGAGAU
rnacentral:sRNA from 2 species